UCGGGACAAACCCGGGUACAUCAACAGCCUUUUCAAUGAGACUGACAAAAAUAAAGACAAGAAACUGAGCUUUGAAGAGUUCACUAAGAUCCUGGCUAAACUGGCCUAUGACACCCACUGCAUCCACCACAAUUUAAACCGGUGUCGCCCAGACCAAGACUAAAGCCCUGAGUGCAGUCCCAGGCUGGAGGAAACCCUGGACCAGAUGACUCUGCCCCCGCUGCAGAAAUCUCCCAUGCCCAGAAUUGCCUGUCUCACAUCAGGCCUCU